rnacentral:rRNA from 1 species
GACGAACGCUGGCGGCGUGCUUAACACAUGCAAGUCGAACGGUAAGGCCCUUCGGGGUACACGAGUGGCGAACGGGUGAGUAACACGUGGGUGAUCUGCCCUGCACUUCGGGAUAAGCCUGGGAAACUGGGUCUAAUACCGGAUAGGACCACUGCCUGCAUGGGUGGUGGUGGAAAGCUUUUGCGGUGUGGGAUGGGCCCGCGGCCUAUCAGCUUGGUGGUGGGGUGAGGGCCUACCAAGGCGACGACGGGUAGCCGGCCUGAGAGGGUGACCGGCCACACGGGGACUGAGAUACGGCCCAGACUCCUACGGGAGGCAGCAGUGGGGAAUAUUGCACAAUGGGCGCAAGCCUGAUGCAGCGACGCCGCGUGAGGGAUGACGGCCUUCGGGUUGUAAACCUCUUUCAGCACCGACGAAGCGCAAGUGACGGUAGGUGCAGAAGAAGGACCGGCCAACUACGUGCCAGCCGCCGCGGUAAUAC